rnacentral:rRNA from 1 species
AAGGAUCAUUACCGAGUUGAUUCGGGCUCCGGCCCGAUCCUCCCACCCUUUGUGUACCUACCUCUGUUGCUUUGGCGGGCCGCGGUCCUCCGCGGCCGCCCCCCUCCCCGGGGGGGUGGCCAGCGCCCGCCAGAGGACCAUCAAACUCCAGUCAGUAAACGAUGCAGUCUGAAAAACAUUUAAUAAACUAAAACUUUCAACAACGGAUCUCUUGGUUCUGGCAUCGAUGAAGAACGCAGCGAAAUGCGAUAAGUAAUGUGAAUUGCAGAAUUCAGUGAAUCAUCGAAUCUUUGAACGCACAUUGCGCCCUUUGGUAUUCCGAAGGGCAUGCCUGUUCGAGUGUCAUUACAACCCUCAAGCUCUGCUUGGUAUUGGGCACCGUCCUUUGCGGGCGCGCCUCAAAGACCUCGGCGGUGGCGUCUUGCCUCAAGCGUAGUAGAACAUACAUCUCGCUUCGGAGCGCAGGGCGUCGCCCGCCGGACGAACCUUCUGAACUUUUCUCAAGGUUGACCUCGGAUCAGGUAGGGAUACCCGCUGAACUUAA